UACGGAGGGUGCAAGCGUUAAUCAGAAUUACUGGGCGUAAAGCGUGCGCAGGCGGUUUGUUAAGUCCGUUGUGAAAGCCCCGAGCUCAACUUGGGAAUUGCAGUGGAUACUGGCAGGCUGGAGUACGGUAGAGGAAGGUGGAAUUCCCGGUGUAGCAGUGAAAUGCGUAGAUAUCGGGAGGAACACCAGUGGCGAAGGCGGCCUUCUGGACCAGUACUGACGCUCAUGCACGAAAGCGUGGGGAGCAAACAGG
rnacentral:rRNA from 1 species